rnacentral:rRNA from 1 species
GACGAACGCUGGCGGCGUGCUUAACACAUGCAAGUCGAACGGAAAGGCCUGCUUUCCCUUGUGGAUUGCGGGUACUCGAGUGGCGAACGGGUGAGUAACACGUGAGUGAUCUGCCCCCAACUUGGGUAUAAGCCUGGGAAACUGGGUCUAAUUCCCGAUAGGACUGCAGGGUGGUGCCUGUGGUGGAAAACGAUUUUCUAGUGGUUGGGGAUGAGCUCGCGGCCUAUCAGCUUGUUGGUGGGGUAAUGGCCUACCAAGGCGGCGACGGGUAGCCGGCCUGAGGGGGUGGACGGCCACAGUGGGACGGAGAUACGGCCAAGACGCCUACGGGAGGCAGCAGUGGGGAAUAUUGCACAAUGGGCGGAAGCCUGAUGCAGCGACGCCGCGUGGGGGAUGACGGCCUUCGGGUUGUAAACUCCUUUCGACCGCGAGGAAGCCACCUGGUUGGAAGGGUGGUGACGGUAGUGGUAGAAGAAGCACCGGCUAACUACGUG